rnacentral:piRNA from 1 species
UGACCAAUUCUAAACCACACUCUUCAGACC